rnacentral:rRNA from 1 species
AGAGUUUGAUCCUGGCUCAGGACGAACGCUGGCGGCACGCUUAACACAUGCAAGUCGAACGGAGAAUAUCGAAGCUUGCUUUGAUAUUCUUAGUGGCGGACGGGUGAGUAACACGUGAGUAACCUGCCUCUGAGAGUGGGAUAGCUUCUGGAAACGGAUGGUAAUACCGCAUGAAAUCAUAGUAUCGCAUGGUACCAUGAUCAAAGAUUUAUCGCUCAGAGAUGGACUCGCGUCUGAUUAGCUAGUUGGUAAGGUAACGGCUUACCAAGGCGACGAUCAGUAGCCGGACUGAGAGGUUGAUCGGCCACAUUGGGACUGAGACACGGCCCAGACUCCUACGGGAGGCAGCAGUGGGGAAUAUUGCACAAUGGGGGAAACCCUGAUGCAGCGAUGCCGCGUGGAGGAAGAAGGUUUUCGGAUUGUAAACUCCUGUUGAAGAGGACGAUAAUGACGGUACUCUUUUAGAAAGCUCCGGCUAACUACGUGCCAGCAGCCGCGGUAAUACGUAGGGAGCGAGCGUUGUCCGGAAUUACUGGGUGUAAAGGGAGCGUAGGCGGGACGGCAAGUCAGAUGUGAAAACUAUGGGCUCAACCCAUAGACUGCAUUUGAAACUGUUGUUCUUGAGUGAGGUAGAGGUAAGCGGAAUUCCUGGUGUAGCGGUGAAAUGCGUAGAGAUCAGGAGGAACAUCGGUGGCGAAGGCGGCUUACUGGGCCUUUACUGACGCUGAGGCUCGAAAGCGUGGGGAGCAAACAGGAUUAGAUACCCUGGUAGUCCACGCCGUAAACGAUGAUUACUAGGUGUGGGGGGACUGACCCCUUCCGUGCCGCAGUUAAC